rnacentral:rRNA from 1 species
GACGAACGCUGGCGGCGUGCCUAAUACAUGCAAGUCGAACGAGAGCGCCCGGUGCUUGCACUGGUCAAUCUAGUGGCGAACGGGUGAGUAACACGUGGGUAACCUGCCCAUCAGAGGGGGAUAACAUCCGGAAACGGAUGCUAAAACCGCAUAGGUCUUCGAGCCGCAUGGCUUGAAGAGGAAAAGAGGCGCAAGCUUCUGCUGAUGGAUGGACCCGCGGUGCAUUAGCUAGUUGGUGAGGUAACGGCUCACCAAGGCCGUGAUGCAUAGCCGACCUGAGAGGGUGAUCGGCCACAUUGGGACUGAGACACGGCCCAAACUCCUACGGGAGGCAGCAGUAGGGAAUCUUCCGCAAUGGACGCAAGUCUGACGGAGCAACGCCGCGUGAGUGAAGAAGGUUUUCGGAUCGUAAAACUCUGUUGUUAGUGAAGAACAAGUGCUAGAGUAACUGUUAGCGCCUUGACGGUAGCUAACCAGAAAGCCACGGCUAACUACGUG